GCAAUUCCGACCCGAUACCAUCCAGUUGAUAGUCGGUGACCGUUGGCCCUCUCCGGCUUACUUUCUCUUUUUCCCUCUUUCUCUAUCGUCCCCAAAUUAGUUCCAAACCCUAGGUCUAGGGUUUAUCUAUUCCAAUCCUUUCCUUCAAAAAAAAAAAAAUUGAAGAUGUCGAAGAGGAAGUUCGGAUUCGAAGGGUUCGGCAUAAACCGGCAAUCGACCUACAACUUCGAGCAGUCGCAACAAGACCCUCAGCGACUCUACGUCCCUCCUUCCUCCUCCCGCGCUCACGGCCACGACAAUUACGAAGACACCGACCUUGACAACAUCGAUUACGACGACAUUGAAGCCGGAAACACUCACGGUAACGGCGGAGGAGACGGCGGUGACGAAGAAGUCGAUCCUCUCGAUGCUUUCAUGGAGGGGAUUCACCAGGAGGUGAGGUCAGCUCCGCCGCCCAAGCCCAAGGAGAAGGCCGACAAGUACCAGGACGAUGACGAGGAGGAUCAUCUGGAGAGUUUCUUGAGGGCCAAGAAGGACGCCACGCUGACUCUGGCCUCCGACGCGCUCCACGCCGGCUAUGAUUCCGACGAGGAGGUCUAUGCCGCUGCCAAGGCUGUGGAUGCCGGAAUGUUGGAGUAUGAUUCCGAUGACAAUCCCGUUGUUGUGGACAGGAGGAAGAUCGAGCCAAUUUCAGCUCUGGAUCAUACUUCCAUUGACUACGAGCCAUUCACCAAGGACUUCUACGAGGAGAAAGAGUCGAUUUCAGGGAUGAGUGAGCAGGAUGUUGCUGAGUACCGGAAGAGCUUGGCCAUCCGAGUGUCUGGCUUUGAUGUACCAAGGCCAAUUAAGACAUUUGAUGACUCUGCGUUUUCUCCGCAACUCAUGAAUGCAAUUAAAAAACAAGAGUAUGAAAAGCCUACACCUAUACAGUGCCAAGCUUUGCCCAUAGUUCUUUCUGGGAGGGAUAUCAUUGGUAUAGCAAAAACUGGCUCCGGAAAGACUGCCGCUUUUGUACUUCCCAUGAUUUGCCAUAUUAUGGAUCAGCCAGAACUUCAGAAAGAAGAAGGUCCUAUAGGAGUCAUAUGUGCACCUACCAGAGAACUGGCGCAACAAAUACACUUAGAGGCCAAGAAAUUUGCUAAAUCACAUGGCAUCCGUGUCUGUGCUGUAUAUGGUGGGAUGUCGAAGCUUGAUCAGUUCAAAGAACUUAAGGCAGGAUGCGAGAUAGUUGUAGCUACUCCUGGGAGAUUAAUAGACAUGAUUAAAAUGAAGGCACUGACGAUGCUACGUGUAACUUACCUAGUGCUUGAUGAGGCUGAUCGGAUGUUUGACCUUGGUUUUGAGCCUCAAAUUAGGUCUAUAGUUGGUCAGAUUAGGCCAGACCGGCAAACGCUACUCUUUUCUGCUACAAUGCCACGUAAAGUUGAAAAGCUGGCUAGAGAAAUUCUUUCUGACCCUGUAAGAGUUACAGUGGGUGAGGUGGGAAUGGCCAAUGAGGAUAUCACUCAAGUUGUUCAUGUACUUCCUUCUGAAGCUGAGAAAUUGCCGUGGCUUCUUGAAAGAUUACCUGGUAUGAUUGAUGACGGUGAUGUUCUCGUAUUUGCUUCUAAAAAAGCUGCAGUGGAUGAGAUCGAAACACAGCUUUCUCAGAAAGGUUUUAAAGUUGCAGCUAUUCAUGGUGAUAAGGACCAGGCUACUAGGAUGGAUAUUAUGCAAAAAUAUAAAUCUGGCAUCUACCAUGUUCUGAUUGCAACUGAUGUUGCUGCUCGUGGUCUUAACAUCAAGUCAAUUAAGUCAGUUGUGAACUUUGAUAUUGCAAAAGACAUGGACAUGCAUGUUCAUCGUAUUGGUAGAACGGGUCGUGCCGGUGAUAAAGAUGGGACUGCAUACACUCUUAUCACGCAGAAAGAGGCACGGUUUGCUGGAGAAUUGGUUAAUAGCUUAGUUGGUGCUGGUCAGAAUGUUCCCGCAGAGCUCAUGGACCUUGCGAUGAAGGAUGGAAGAUUCAGGUCUAAACGUGAUUCAAGAAAAGGAGGUGGAAAGAAGGGUAGGGGGAGAGGUGGUGGUGGAGGCGGUGGCAGCAGUGGUCGAGGUGUGCGUGGGGUGGAUUUUGGUCUGGGUAUCGGAUAUAAUCCGGAAUCCAAUAGUUCUCCAUCACCUGCUGUUACUAGUCGAUCUGCUGCAGUUACUUCUCUAAGAACAGGAAUGAUGUCUCAAUUCAAGAGUAAGUUUGUUUCUGCUUCAUCAAACUCUCCAAGUCAGGGUUCUGGUAACAGUUCGAGUGCGCAUGCCAACAAGAGGCCUGCAUUACGAGGAUUUGUAGCCGGUGGUUCUAUUGGUGGAGACAUACAUAGAUCUCAGACAACCAAUACAGUUUCUCCAGCUCCUGCACCAGUGGCAAACAUAUCUUCUCAGAAUUCUGGAGAAAAUUCGAGCCAGAAGCCGACGGAAAGUUCUAGAGAUAAACCUAGAGAAAGGCGGAGGCGCUCUGGUUGGGACUGUUGAUGAUACAGUUGAAGACCACUCAAAUGAACAAGAAAUUUUAUUUUCCUUGCAGAUCAAGAGUCCUUCUAUAUCUGUAUUGUUGUAGGUCUGGAUUUGCUUCCAUUGUACUUGGGUGUACUUUUUUUUCUUUUUCUUAAUGAUCAAACUGGGGUGUACUUUGUAGCCGGCAAUUUCAAAUAAAAUGGCUUCGGAUGUAGGCUUAUCUUCGUGGACAUGUUCUCACUGGAUGUCAAACUUCAGUGGAGGUAGGGCUACUCCUAAGCAAAUUUAUGCAACAACUUCUGAGUAUCAUACUAUGCAAUUAAAGUAUAGCUUACAAACCAUUCAAAAAGGAUUUGAAUAUAUAAAAGUUUUUGUUGCGCUUCAAAUCAUUUAGAGAUCAGUUAGCUGCAGUAGGAGUUCGAAUGUCAGAUCAAGAAUGUCAAAGUUCUCAUUCUUGCUGGGCUUCCUAGUGAAUAUGGUCAUACUACGCAAAUUAUUUCAGGGAAGAAUAAUAUUGAUAUGGAGGAAGUUAGAUCUUUGUUAUUAUCUGCUGAGUAUGAAAUUGAGCUUCAGCACAAGGCAAGGCAUGUUUGGCUCAACUCCAUCUUACAGUUGAUUCUUCUUCUGGUAGCAAUGUGAUGUUCUGCGUGACCACAGGCAGUCAAUCCUGGAGAACUAAUGUGAUGUUCUCCAUAUGUGGACCGAAACAAAUGCAU